CCUACGCGACGUCGUUCCUAUCUGGGUUAUUUUGACAACCUAGUCAAAUUGGUUUUCCAACCUAUUUGCACUUUUUUUUUUUAAAUUCUGUCCCAGCUGAUUGUUUUCUGCUUUUCUGUCGAUAAUUUUGGUCCUUUUCUUGAUUCUGCGUUUGACGCAAUUUAGGUUUUGGAGCUAUUUUUACCGUCUCCUCUGAAAGUUUGAGCCCUUGAGUUCGUUGAAUCGGCAUGUUAGUUUGACGAGGAUGAAUCAAGGAGGGACUACUGAUACUCUAACAACACUGGGCACCAAUUCCGUCGAGAAGUAUCCAGUCAUUGAUCCAAGUCAAGCACACGCAUCCUCUUACUAUGCCUCAACUAGCUCUGCACCAAUAUCAUGGACCACCCAUGGGGCAAAUAAUUAUCCUAGGGAGAAUGGAACCGUUUCUACUUCCACUUAUCAUCAUGACCAACAAGCAGAAUUAACCUCAAGGAGUGUCCAAGAUGGAUUAAAUGGGGCACCUGUUGUAUCCACUUCAACUUCUGGGGCAGUAAAUGUACAACACGAUUACAAUAGUUAUUCAACCUACCAGAAUACAGAUCCGUAUGGAUAUGGAAAUACAGGAUAUGCAUCUUACUAUAAUAAUUAUCAGCAGCAAACAAGUCAACCAUAUCAACCUCCUGUAGGAGCAUACCAAAACUCAGGUGCUCCUUAUCAGCCUCUUUCCUCAUUUCAGAAUACUGGGUCUUAUGCUGGGUCUGCAAGUUAUUCAAGCACUUACUACAAUCCUGCUGAUUAUCAGACAGCCGGAGGUUAUCAGAGUGGUGUUUAUAGCAACCAGACCAAUUAUUGGCAAGAAGGACAGUAUGCAACAUACUCUUCUCAAUAUCCCAACUACACCCCAGACUCGACUACAUUGUAUAGUUCCACUCCUAGUGCUGCAUCUUCACAGUAUGCACAUCAUUAUAAGCAAUGGGCUGACUAUUACAAUCAAACACAAACAGAAGUCAGCUGUGCUCCAGGGACAGAAAAUGUUUCUGUUUCUGGUGCACCUAGUCUGAGUUCUGUCCCUUGUGGGUAUCCAGCAGCAAAUAGUCAAGCCUCUGCACCUUAUAUUACGUCCUGGAGGCCGGAAUCUACAUCUUCUGAAUUACCUGCGGCACAGUCUGGUACACUGAAUGGUGGUGUUCAUGAUGGGCAUUGGAAGCCUGCACCUGCAGUUUUUCAAAAUCAAAAUUUGAAUUCAGUGCAACAUGUUCAAAUGCCUUUAGAGACAAGUUCCACAUAUGAAAGCUUCCAGAAUCAGCAAAAUCACGCACAUUCUCAAGGGCAUAACUUAGUGUAUACAGCUACGCAUCAGGUUCCCCAAAGUUAUCAGUCAUCUUUACAAACUGUUUCACAAAUUGCUCCACAGCUUGAUUCGCGCAGGGCAAGCAGCAAAUUGCAGAUUCCUACAAAUCCUAGAAUUGCUUCAAAUUUGGGCUUGGGUUUUCCAAAAGUAGAGAAGGAUAUUUCUGCAAGCACUGCAGCUUCAAAGCCUGCCUACAUUAGUGUUUCACUGACAAAGCCAAAUGAGAAAGUGCCAUCUGAAGAUGCUGCUGAGUCUAUACUAAAGCCUGGCAUGUUUCCAAAGUCACUGUGUGGUUAUGUCGAAAGGGCUUUGGCUCGCUGCAAAGGUGAUGCACAAAUGGUGGCUUCUCAAGCUGUCAUGAAAGAGAUUAUCAUGAAGGCAACCGCUGAUGGUACUCUACAUACAAGAGAUUGGGAUACAGAGCCUCUUUUCCCCCUGCCGAAUGCAGAUGCUGCUAAUCAAGAACAUAUACUGUUCUCAACUCCCAUUUCUUCAUUACCAAAAAGCAGAAGUCCUAGUAGACGAUCCAAAAGUAGGUGGGAACCUAUAUCAGAAGAGAAAGUGGCUGACAAGCCUCCUGCUGCUGCUGCCCGUGAACCUGUAAAAUAUGGUUUUUGGAACAAACAGCACUAUACAGUUGGAAAAACAGAGAACAAGGUGGAUAACUGGAGUAAUACCAAAUUUUCUUUACCAGAACAGAAAAGCUCCAACAAAAAUUCUUUCAGGCCAGCUAAGAAGCAACGUCUUGUUGAUGGUCUAAGUGCAGCUGAUAAUGGUGAUGAAUCAAGUGAGAGUGAUAAGGAACAAACUUUAACAGCAUAUUAUUCUGCUGCUGUAGCACUUGCUGAUUCACCAGAGGAAAGAAAGAGACGUGAAAGUCGAUCAAAACGUUUUGAAAAGGGACAUGGAAACCGAGCAGAAAUUAAUCAUUUUAGGCAGAAAAGUGCUGGUGCUGGCAAUCUAUAUACUAGACGAGCUAGUGCAUUGGUGCAUAGCAGAAACUUUGAGGACAGUGGCACCAAGGCUGUUGAAGAUAUUGACUGGGAUGCUCUUACUGUCAAAGGGACCUCUCAGGAAAUUGAGAAACGUUAUCUGCGCCUUACUUCGGCUCCUGAUCCUGUCACGGUAAGACCAGAAGAGGUCUUGGAAAAAGCCCUGCUUAUGGUGCAAAAUUCUGAAAAGAAUUACCUUUAUAAGUGCGAUCAGUUAAAAUCCAUUCGGCAAGACUUGACUGUACAGCAUAUACGCAAUGAGUUAACUGUAAAGGUUUAUGAAACUCAUGCUCGUUUAGCAAUUGAAGUUGGGGAUCUGCCAGAGUUUAAUCAGUGCCAAUCCCAGUUGAAAACGCUUUAUGCUGAAGGAAUCAGUGGAUGCCAUUUGGAGUUUGCUGCAUACAAUUUACUCUGUGUAAUCCUGCACUCUAACAAUAACAGAGAUCUCCUGUCUGUGAUGUCAAGAUUAUCAGCUGAUGCUAGGAAAAAUGAUGCUGUGAAACACGCUCUUGCAGUUCGUUCAGCAGUGACUUCAGGGAAUUAUGUUCUGUUUUUCAGGCUAUACAAAACAGCUCCCAACCUUAGUACUCUUCUCAUGGAUCUUUAUGUUGAAAAGAUGCGAUAUGCAGCAGUAAAGUGUAUGUCUCGUUCAUAUCGUCCUACUAUUCCCGUCGCAUACAUUUCUCAGGUUCUGGGCUUCGGUAAUGUCUCGCCCACAACUGAAGCAAGUGAUGAGAAGGAAAGAGAUGGAGUUGAAGAAUGUGCAGAAUGGUUGAAGGCUCAUGGUGCAUGCCUAUCUAAUGAUAAUGCUGGGGAGAUGCUUCUUGACACAAAGGUAUCUAUGUCAAGCCUCUACAUGCCAGAACCUGAGGAUGCCGUGAGCCAUGGAGAUGCUAAUCUUGCAGUUGACGAUUUUUGGGCACGGAAUCCUGUAUAAGUUGGUAUGGUUAAGUGAAAGAGUCGUCUGAAGGUCCUGUCUGGGGGGAAUCUGAUUAAGCCAUCACAGAGAUCAGUUCCAAGAAAUUUUGCUUGGAGAUUUGCGCAGGGCAGCUGUUCAAUUAGCGGGGAUGUGGACUUCUGUUAUAUCAACUGUAUGUUGUGAGAUAUUAUGAAUUGAAAGGGAAAGGAAAUGUGCUCAGCAAAUGCUAAGAUUUCUUGCACUCUGAUUUUUGCAUCUCGCUAUUGCGUUUCAGACGUUUAAAGAGGAGGAGGAAGAAGCUGAUGACUGGGUCUGAGGCCAAACACUUACUUUCUCUUUCUCGUGCUUAACGUACAAUGCCGAAGCCGCCGCCAUGAAAUAAACCUGAAUUAGAAUUAUAGCCGGCGAAUGGUACUUUAUCACCCCCUGACCCGUUGCCAGCUCCACCAGAAUCAAGGCGGUUAGACCAAUAAGAGCAAUUCGCCCGUUAACCCGCUCCGAGUACGGGCUGAACCCGAAUUCCACAUUCAGCCCUUCUGAGACCGCCUCCUUCAGGGGCACCGGCGGGA